rnacentral:rRNA from 1 species
AUUGAACGCUGGCGGCAUGCCUUACACAUGCAAGUCGAACGGUAACAGGUCUUCGGAUGCUGACGAGUGGCGAACGGGUGAGUAAUACAUCGGAACGUGCCUAGUAGUGGGGGAUACCUACUCGAAAGAGUGGCUAAUACCGCAUGAGACCUACGGAUGAAAGCAGGGGAUCGCAAGACCUGGUGCUACUAGAGCGGCGGAUGGCAGAUUAGGUAGUUGGUGGGUUAAAAGCUUACCAGGCCGACGAUCUGUAGCUGGUCUGGGAGGACGAUCAGCCACACUGGGACUGAGACACGGCCCAGACUCCUACGGGAGGCAGCAGUGGGGAAUUUUGGACAAUGGGCGAAAGCCUGAUCCAGCAAUGCCGCGUGCAGGAUGAAGGCCUUCGGGUUGUAAACUGCUUUUGUACGGAACGAAAAGCCCUGGGUUAAUACCCUGGGGUCAUGACGGUACCGUAAGAAUAAGCACCGGCUAACUACGUGCCAGCAGCCGCCGUAA